AUCAGUGUUUGCAGGUGAGAUGAUCCAGCUCAGGUGAAGUGAAGUCUUCAGCUCCACUCUGUGAACUCUUGGAUCUGUGAGGAGAACCAGGACUCAUCGUCAUUACUAACAAAAAUGAUGGAACCUGUUCAGACACAACUCCUGGAAAUACUGGAAGGUUUAGGAGACAAGGAACUUAAAUAUUUUAAGUGGUAUCUACAAAAGUCUGAGUUAUUGGAUGGUUUACCAGCAAUCCCAAAGAGUGAUCUUCAGAUAUGUGACAAACAGAAAACAGUGAAUGUGAUUAUCAACAUAUACAAAACUGAAGAUGCUUUAGAUGUCACAAGGAAGAUUUUGGACAAAGUCAAGACUCGAACAAAUAAACAGCCACAAGGUGUGGUGAAACAACCAGCCCGGGCAGUUACAUCACAGGAUGUUCUUAAAAACUGCCAAGUAAAACUCAAGUCUGUCUUGAAGAAGGAGUUCCAGUGUGUGUUUGAGGGGAUUGCUAAAGCAGGAAACCCAAACCUUCUGAAUCAGAUCUACACAGAGCUCUACAUCACAAAG